GGCGGUGUAGCUCAGUUGGCUAGAGCGUUCGGUUCAUACCCGAAAGGUCAUGGGUUCGACCCCCUUCGCCGCUA
rnacentral:tRNA from 1 species